rnacentral:misc_RNA from 1 species
GAUGAAGAACGUAGCGAAAUGCGAUAAGUAGUGUGAAUUGCAGAAUUCAGUGAAUCAUCGAAUCUUUGAACGCACAUUGCGCCCUUUGGUAUUCCUUAGGGCAUGCCUGUUCGAGCGUCAUUGCUGCCCUCAAGCACGGCUUGUGUGUUGGGCCUCCGCCCCCCGGCUCCCGGGGGGCGGGCCGGAAAGGCAGCGGCGGCACCGCGUCCGGUCCUCGAGCGUAUGGGGCUUCGUCACCCGCUCCGUAGGCCCGGCCGGGGCCCGCCGGCGACCCCCCUCAAUCUUUCCAGGUUGACCUCGGAUCAGGUAGGGAUACCCGCUGAACUUAAGCAUAUCGAUAAGCGGAGGA